UUAAACCCAACAUUGUCACCUCAUGUAAUUUUUGGUGUUCUUGCUUAUUGAGUUAGGACUUAUUGAUGUUGUUGUUUGUUGAUUUGAACGCAGAAGAAGAAUGAAGGUGUGCUGGGGUGACGGCUGGAUCUGGAUGUUAUUUAGGGUUUCGCUUGAAGUUGAGGAAGAAGAAAGGUAUAUAGUGGUCAUUUGAGGUUUAGAUUAAAGAGUUUUGGUGGUGGAGGGAAACAAUUUUUUAUGUAAGUCAAAGGGAUAUGGAUGGACAAAAAUAGUGUUGAUAAUUGGCCCGUAUUGGAAAAUUAUCCUUUUUUAUCAAUGUGCAGGCCGUUCAAGCGAAGCAUCAGGGUUUGGUUUUGGUUCUGGUUCUGGUAAGGCAUAUUUAUUGGAGAAAUAUAACACUUGACAUGUUCGUUUUGCAUAAUGAUUGGGAAGUUGUGAAACAUGGUUGGCAUACUCAGGUACUUGGUGAUCCCCCACCCAAAUAGAUGAAGAACAUGCCUAGACAAGAAUAUGUAGCUCACUUGAGAUGGUAAUUUGGUGCUACUGAUGUGAAACUUUCUGGUGAACCAAAACUCCCCUUUUUUUUGCACCCUUUCUCAAUGGACAAAAGGUAGUUUCGGUUCUAUUUACAAGGGGAUGAUCUAUGAGCGAUCACUUGCAGCUGCCAAGACUCGCACAACUGUCGCUGUGGUUAACCAACAUCUUCAAAGUCACCCGGAAGAGUGGUUGCAAAGAAGCGGAAUAAAAGUACCGUCGACACCACAUCACAAAGGUCGGAUGAAGGUUCUUCAGGAAAACAGAAAGUGGACAACGUUUUUAUUGAUCAAGAAGCUUGCAGCAGCUUGAAUCAACAAUCUCUGAUUAGUGGCAGUACUUAUAUAAAAUAAUACUAACUCACAUAUAAUUUUUGUUUCAAAUGUUUUAUUCACGAUUAUGGCAGGUUGUGUUUAUGUGAAGUAUGAGACAAAAGAGUGUGGGGUCGUAGUGUUAAAUUCAUCGUCAUCAAUAGGGAACGUAGAGAAACUAAUAUGGUAUACAGCAAAUAUAAAUCAUACCAUGACAGAAAGUUGUUGGCAAGAUUCGUUUUAAUCAUAGAAGAAGCCCGAAGUAUGAUAAAAAGUGGAUUAUUUGUUUUUUUAAACAUCCAAAGAAUCGUGGUUUAAAUACUGUACAUCAAUUAGAGCUCUGGAAGUGGUGGUGUGAGCUCCAACAGAACCACUGUGAUGAUUUUCAAGUUGCGCUUACACCACAAGAAGGUCAACCAUUUAGCAGCCAGCUUUAGCCACUCCACAAUAUUGUUGGAUGGGUCAAACUUCAUUGCCAUAGUUUUCUCAACUGUUUGCAGCAGAGGACAGGUCAGUAUGCACCCUUCUCCGUCAUCGCAACCAAUUCCCAUGCCUUAUAUGCAGCCACCAAAGUUCUAGAACCGGAACUCUCGAGAGUACCACUUUUUUCUUCAUAUACAGUAAGGCCCUCUUUUUAUUGGUUCUUGUGCUUAAGUGGGUACCCUUGGAAUAUGUAUAAUAGUUUACAUGUGUUGGUUCAAUGCAUUGUCAUUCGAGCAGGGCGGACCCAUGGCGUUUGUGGGAAGUGCCAACGCACAAGGCCAAAAAAAGAAAAGUAUAUGUUUUUUAUAAAUAUAUUAGAUGCAACCUAAAUAUAUUAACAAUGGUUCAGCGCGUCUUUUUUACAUAUCACAUUUGAGAUCCAAGUUCGAAAUUUACCAACCAAAAUUGUUUUUCUUAUUAAAAUUGUGAACCAUGAAGCUUCCUUAAAGGUGAAGUAAAAAAUGAAGGCAUCAGGCCAAGAUGCAACAGCGUGAAGUUGUGAAGUGCAAGGUAGCCUAUAUGUUAUUUCUCUUACGUUUUAACUAUUUUUUAGUUAUUUUACUAUACAAUCUCUUAAAUGUUAAGUUUAAUUAAGUAAAAUAUUAAAUAUAGAAAUUUAGUUAAUCAUCAUCAAUAGGGAACGUAGAGAAACUAAUAUGGUAAGCAUCUUCAACUCAUGAAGUGUUUUGUUCAUAUGAUUUUAAGUAUACUACUAUAAGAUUCAAUAGUUUUUUAUCGAGGAAAUGACCUGCUUUGUCGGCUUUAAUUGAGAACUAAGGGGCAUGUCAAUUCGACUGAAGAUAUAUUCAUCUAUUAUUGUGCUACUGAACUGAUUGGUAAGUUAU